UAAGCAUUUUAAUGCAAAUCCUGCAUAAGUC
rnacentral:piRNA from 1 species